AAAAAAUCUAUUUAUAGAAUCUAACGCACGCACCUCUCAUACCAUAUCAUAUAAAAGCCAUUUUCACAACUAGCAGUUCCAUUCUGACAAUUUGUUGCCUAAAGGACGUCAUAUAAACAUGUACGUGAAGAUAGCCUUUCUUUUAGUUGUCUGUAUCGGCAUCUCUGCGGCAGAAGACUGUAUCAACACGGAUACCACAACAUGCGGACAUUUAAUGUGUGCACCCGGAUUUACGCCAACUUGUGAAUCAAAUAUUUGCACAUGUAACACAGCUCCCGACCAAUCAGCGUGCAAUAGCUUGGAUGACUGCCAUAAUUACUGGUUUGGAAAUCACUGUAGACAUAAUAGCAGACAUUGUAUCGAUGGCCAUUGUGAAUGUCGACGUCUUAAUUGAUAUGGAUGUCAUGAUCCUGAACAUUCAACACAUGGGAUUUUAUAUUCAGGGAAUAUUGAUAUUUAUUAAGAAAAUAAAUUUGUAAAAAAUGAAAUGAAUUCCGGGACCUUA